CCAAUUCAGAAGAGACUCUUUGACUGUAUUUAUAUUUUGGCAGUCUAAAGAGGGCAAAGAGAAGGCGACCCAGUGAGGAAGCUAAGGAAGCUCACGUUGAAGACAUAUCAUCAACUGCACCUUCUGCAAGCCAACUCUGAUUCUAAGACUAAUUAGAGAUGAGUUGAUAUUUUGAGAUUUUAUAACCUAUGAAACUAUUGAGAUGUUUGAGAAAAGAAGUGGGUAAGCUUAAUGAAGUGAUAGAUGGGAAAUAAUAUCUACUUAGAAGCUAUAAGGAGUAGAAGAUGGAGUCUUUGCAGAAGAUAAAAGAGUUGCAACAGAGACGAAGGACAGAGAUUUGUUUGGUUGUAGUUAAUAUAAUUUUAGGGUGAAUGUGAGGUUUUAUGUACAACUAGAUCACUUAGGUACAAUUGAGAAAAUUUCAGUAUAACUUGAACUA